UGGGGCAGUAUGAAGGACCAAUUGGAGACGCCAGAGAAUAUAAGUAGGUAAACCUGUUCAGGAGCUGAAAUCAAAGACUCUUGAAUAAUUUAAUGUAAUCUGGAGGUGAUGAGGAACUAAUGAAGUGGAGAAGUGAGAAUGGAAAGACAAGAGCUGCCCAAGAUAUGGUCAAAGUUUCUAGGCCAGGUAAAUGGGGACAUGGUUCUAGGGAACACGUUACAAAUAUCAUAUUUGGGGGAAAAGCUGUAUCUUAUCUUCUUGAGUGUUUGAGGUAUUGUGGGAAAUCCAGAAGCAGGUGUCCAGCAGGCAGCCAAAAACUCCGAUCUUAUGAGAGAGGCUGGUGAGAAGCUAUCAGAAAGCUAUACUAAGUUAGCAUGUCUCUUUGAAAGGACAACUCAUAGUAAGCUUAGUCAGAUGCUUGAUUUGUGUCUGCAAUGUAUAUUAAUAUUUCACAGAUAGGUUGUGGAUGACUGAGAGAGAGCAUGCAUCUUGCCCAUGCUGUUGGAUACAAGGACAAAUUCUCAUGUGGUUGGGAUACCUGGUCUAGAUGUCUUGCCAUA
rnacentral:lncRNA from 1 species